AGGAUAAUAGUUUAAAACAACGUUUAAUUUGCACUUAAAAAAUAUUGACUAGUCAAUUUAUCUUA
rnacentral:tRNA from 1 species